AACGAACGCUGGCGGCAUGCCUCAUACAUGCAAGUCGAACGCAGGCUUCGGCCUGAGUGGCGCACGGGUGAGUAGCGCGUGGGAACCUACCCUUUUGUGGGGGAUAACCGAGGGAAACUUCGGCUAAUACCGCAUACGCCGGGAAACCGGGAAAGAUUUAUCGCAGAAGGAUGGGCCCGCGUCGGAUUAGCUAGUUGGUGGGGUAACGGCCUACCAAGGCUACGAUCCGUAGCUGGUCUGAGAGGAUGAUCAGCCACACUGGGACUGAGACACGGCCCAGACUCCUACGGGAGGCAGCAGUAGGGAAUAUUGGACAAUGGGCGAAAGCCUGAUCCAGCAAUGCCGCGUGAGUGAGGAAGGCCCUAGGGUUGUAAAGCUCUUUCGGCGGGGACGAUGAUGACGGUGCCCGCAGAAGAAGCCCCGGCUAACUUCGUGCCAGCCGCCGCCGUAAUAC
rnacentral:rRNA from 1 species